rnacentral:rRNA from 1 species
GUAGGUGGCAAGCGUUGUCGGGAAUUAUUGGGCGUAAAGCGCGCGCAGGCGGUUCUUUAAGUCUGAUGUGAAAGCCCACGGGCUCAACCGGUGGAGGGUCAUUGGAAGCUGGAGAACUUGAGUACAGAAGAGGAAAGCGGAAUUCCACGUGUAGCGGUGAAAUGCGUAGAGAUGUGGAGGAACACCAGUGGCGAAGGCGGCUUUCUGGUCUGUAACUGACGCUGAGGCGCGAAAGCGUGGGGAGCAAACAGGAUUAGAUACCCUGGUAGUCCACGCCGUAAACGAUGAGUGCUAAGGUGUUACGGGGUUUCCGCCCCUUAGUGCUGCAGCUAACGCAUUAAGCACUCCGCCUGGGGAGUACGGCCGCAAAGGCUG